CUCCGACUCAGAGAGUUUGAUCCUGGCUCAGAUUGAACGCUGGCGGAAUGCUUUACACAUGCAAGUCGAACGGCAGCACGGGGCAACCUGGUGGCGAGUGGCGAACGGGUGAGUAAUACAUCGGAACGUGCCCAAUCGUGGGGGAUAACGUAGCGAAAGUUACGCUAAUACCGCAUACGAUCUACGGAUGAAAGCGGGGGACCGCAAGACCUCGCGCGAAUGGAGCGGCCGAUGUCAGAUUAGGUAGUUGGUGGGGUAAAGGCUCACCAAGCCGACGAUCUGUAGCUGGUCUUAGAGGACGACCAGCCACACUGGGACUGAGACACGGCCCAGACUCCUACGGGAGGCAGCAGUGGGGAAUUUUGGACAAUGGGCGCAAGCCUGAUCCAGCCAUUCCGCGUGCAGGAUGAAGGCCUUCGGGUUGUAAACUGCUUUUGUACGGAACGAAACGGUUCUCUCUAAUACAGGGGGCUAAUGACGGUACCGUAAGAAUAAGCACCGGCUAACUACGUG
rnacentral:rRNA from 1 species